CUGACACAGGGAGGUAGUGACAAGAAAUAACAAUGCCGGGCUCUUACGAGUCUGGCAAUUGGAAUGAGAACAAUUUAAAUCCCUUAUCGAGGAUCCAUUGGAGGGCAAGUCUGGUGCCAGCAGCCGCGGUAAUUCCAGCUCCAAUAGCGUAUAUUAAUGUUGUUGCAGUUAAAAAGCUCGUAGUUGGAUUCCUGGCCUGGGGUAGCCGGUCCGCCUUGCAAAAGGUGCGCACUGUGCGGCCUCGGCCAUCCUUGAGAAGAGCUGUUCUGGCAUUCAGUUGUCGGGGCGGGGAUUCUC
rnacentral:rRNA from 1 species